rnacentral:rRNA from 1 species
AACGAACGCUGGCGGCAUGCCUAACACAUGCAAGUCGAACGAGACCUUCGGGUCUAGUGGCGCACGGGUGCGUAACGCGUGGGAAUCUACCCUUGGGUUCGGAAUAACAGUUAGAAAUGACUGCUAAUACCGGAUGAUGACGUAAGUCCAAAGAUUUAUCGCCCAAGGAUGAGCCCGCGUAAGAUUAGCUUGUUGGUGGGGUAAUGGCCUACCAAGGCGACGAUCUUUAGCUGGUCUGAGAGGAUGAUCAGCCACACUGGGACUGAUACACGGCCCAGAAUCCUACGGGAGGCAGCAGUGGGGAAUAUUGGACAAUGGGCGAAAGCCUGAUCCAGCAAUGCCGCGUGAGUGAUGAAGGCCUUAGGGUUGUAAAGCUCUUUUACCAGGGAUGAUAAUGACAGUACCUGGAGAAUAAGCUCCGGCUAGCUCCGUGCCAGCCGCCGCGGUAA